GACGAACGCUGGCGGCGUGCUUAACACAUGCAAGUCGAACGGAAAGGCCCUGCUUUUGUGGGGUGCUCGAGUGGCGAACGGGUGAGUAACACGUGAGUAACCUGCCCUUGACUUUGGGAUAACUUCAGGAAACUGGGGCUAAUACCGGAUAGGAGCUCCUGCUGCAUGGUGGGGGUUGGAAAGUUUCGGCGGUUGGGGAUGGACUCGCGGCUUAUCAGCUUGUUGGUGGGGUAGUGGCUUACCAAGGCUUUGACGGGUAGCCGGCCUGAGAGGGUGACCGGCCACAGUGGGACUGAGAUACGGCCCAGACUCCUACGGGAGGCAGAAGUGGGGAAUAGUGCACAAUGGGCGGAAGCCUGAUGCAGCAACGCCGCGUGCGGGAUGACGGCCUUCGGGUUGUAAACCGCUUUCGCCUGUGACGAAGCGUGAGUGACGGUAAUGGGUAAAGAAGCACCGGCUAACUACGUG
rnacentral:rRNA from 1 species